rnacentral:rRNA from 1 species
UACGUAGGGGGCAAGCGUUGUCCGGAAUCAUUGGGCGUAAAGCGCGUGUAGGCGGCUCGAUAAGUCUGCUGUGAAAGUCCAGGGCUCAACCCUGGGAUGCCGGUGGAUACUGUCGGGCUAGAGUGCGGAAGAGGCGAGUGGAAUUCCUGGUGUAGCGGUGAAAUGCGCAGAUAUCAGGAGGAACACCUAUUGCGAAGGCAGCUCGCUGGGACGUUACUGACGCU